rnacentral:rRNA from 1 species
GAUGAACGCUAGCUACAGGCUUAACACAUGCAAGUCGAGGGGCAGCAUGGUCUUAGCUUGCUAAGGCCGAUGGCGACCGGCGCACGGGUGAGUAACACGUAUCCAACCUGCCGUCUACUCUUGGACAGCCUUCUGAAAGGAAGAUUAAUACAAGAUGGCAUCAUGAGUCCGCAUGUUCACAUGAUUAAAGGUAUUCCGGUAGACGAUGGAGAUGCGUUCCAUUAGAUAGUAGGCGGGGUAACGGCCCACCUAGUCUUCGAUGGAUAGGGGUUCUGAGAGGAAGGUCCCCCACAUUGGAACUGAGACACGGUCCAAACUCCUACGGGAGGCAGCAGUGAGGAAUAUUGGUCAAUGGGCGAGAGCCUGAACCAGCCAAGUAGCGUGAAGGAUGACUGCCCUAUGGGUUGUAAACUUCUUUUAUAAAGGAAUAAAGUCGGGUAUGGAUACCCGUUUGCAUGUACUUUAUGAAUAAGGAUCGGCUAACUCCGUGCCAGCAGCCGCGGUAAUACGGAGGAUCCGAGCGUUAUCCGGAUUUAUUGGGUUUAAAGGGAGCGUAGAUGGAUGUUUAAGUCAGUUGUGAAAGUUUGCGGCUCAACCGUAAAAUUGCAGUUGAUACUGGAUAUCUUGAGUGCAGUUGAGGCAGGCGGAAUUCGUGGUGUAGCGGUGAAAUGCUUAGAUAUCACGAAGAACUCCGAUUGCGAAGGCAGCCUGCUAAGCUGCAACUGACAUUGAGGCUCGAAAGUGUGGGUAUCAAACAGGAUUAGAUACCCUGGUAGUCCACACGGUAAACGAUGAAUACUCGCUGUUUGCGAUAUACUGCAAGCGGCCAAGCGAAAGCGUUAAGUAUUCCACCUGGGGAGUACGCCGGCAACGGUGAAACUCAAAGGAAUUGACGGGGGCCCGCACAAGCGGAGGAACAUGUGGUUUAAUUCGAUGAUACGCGAGGAACCUUACCCGGGCUUAAAUUGCAGAUGAAUUACGGUGAAAGCCGUAAGCCGCAAGGCAUCUGUGAAGGUGCUGCAUGGUUGUCGUCAGCUCGUGCCGUGAGGUGUCGGCUUAAGUGCCAUAACGAGCGCAACCCUUGUUGUCAGUUACUAACAGGUUCCGCUGAGGACUCUGACAAGACUGCCAUCGUAAGAUGUGAGGAAGGUGGGGAUGACGUCAAAUCAGCACGGCCCUUACGUCCGGGGCUACACACGUGUUACAAUGGGGGGUACAGAGGGCCGCUACCACGCGAGUGGAUGCCAAUCCCCAAAACCUCUCUCAGUUCGGACUGGAGUCUGCAACCCGACUCCACGAAGCUGGAUUCGCUAGUAAUCGCGCAUCAGCCACGGCGCGGUGAAUACGUUCCCGGGCCUUGUACACACCGCCCGUCAAGCCAUGGGAGCCGGGGGUACCUGAAGUGCGUAACCGCGAGGAGCGCCCUAGGGUAAAACUGGUGACUGGGGCUAAGU